rnacentral:rRNA from 1 species
CCUACGGGAGGCAGCAGUGGGGAAUAUUGCACAAUGGGGGAAACCCUGAUGCAGCGACGCCGCGUGAGCGAUGAAGUAUUUCGUUAUGUAAAGCUCUAUCAGCAGGGAAGAAAAUGACGGUACCUGACUAAGAAGCCCCGGCUAACUACGUGCCAGCAGCCGCGGUAAUACGUAGGGGGCAAGCGUUAUCCGGAUUUACUGGGUGUAAAGGGAGCGUAGACGGCUGUGCAAGCCGGAGGUGAAAGCCGGGGGCUCAACCCCAGGACUGCAUUGGAAACUGUAUGGCUGGAGUGUAGGAGAGGUAAGUGGAAUUCGUAGGGUAGCGGUGAAAGGAGUAGAGAGUAGGAGGAACAC